GACGAACGCUGGCGGCGUGCCUAAUACAUGCAAGUAGAACGCUGAAGGAGGAGCUUGCUUCUCCGGAUGAGUUGCGAACGGGUGAGUAACGCGUAGGUAACCUGCCUGGUAGCGGGGGAUAACUAUUGGAAACGAUAGCUAAUACCGCAUAACAGUAGAUGUUGCAUGACAUUUGCUUAAAAGGUGCAAUUGCAUCACUACCAGAUGGACCUGCGUUGUAUUAGCUAGUUGGUGAGGUAACGGCUCACCAAGGCGACGAUACAUAGCCGACCUGAGAGGGUGAUCGGCCACACUGGGACUGGGACACGGCCCAGACUUCUACGGGGGGCAGCAGGAGGGAAUCUUCGGCAAUGGACGGAAGUCUGACCGAGCAACGCCGCGUGAGUGAAGAAGGUUUUCGGAUCGUAAAGCUCUGUUGUAAGAGAAGAAAGAGUGUGAGAGUGGAAAGUUCACACUGUGACGGUAUCUUACCAGAAAGGGACGGCUAACUACGUG
rnacentral:rRNA from 1 species